GACGAACGCUGGCGGCGUGCUUAACACAUGCAAGUCGAGCGGUAAGGCCCUUUCGGGGGUACACGAGCGGCGAACGGGUGAGUAACACGUGGGUAACCUACCCUAGAGUGGGGAAUAACUAGCCGAAAGGUUAGCUAAUACCGCGUACGCUCCUUGGACUUCGGUUCAGGGAGGAAAGCGAUGCCGAGGGUAUCGCGCUCUUGGAUGGGCUCAUGUCCUAUCAGCUUGUUGGUGAGGUAACGGCUCACCAAGGCUUCGACGGGUAGCUGGUCUGAGAGGACGAUCAGCCACACUGGCACUGCGACACGGGCCAGACUCCUACGGGAGGCAGCAGUAAGGAAUAUUGCGCAAUGGGCGAAAGCCUGACGCAGCGACGCCGCGUGGGGAGUGAAGGUCUUCGGAUUGUAAACCCCUUUCGGGAGGGAAGAUGGAACGAGCAAUCGUUCGGACGGUACCUCCAGAAGCAGCCACGGCUAACUUCGUGCCAGCCGCCGCAGUAA
rnacentral:rRNA from 1 species